CGGUGGACUUCGCAUGGCGUUUAUCCCAUGAACUCCCCCAGGGCAGGAAUGCAGUAAGGGUCAGUGGGCUCUGGCGGGUAUGCGGAGUCCUUUUGUU
rnacentral:SRP_RNA from 1 species